GCUGCCCCUUGCAGGGUGCUGGAGAAAGGCCAGACCUCUGGGAGGCAGUCCUGGGAGAGGUUUGCCCCCGCUGGCUCAGGGUUUGGCUCCUAUUUCCUCCUGUCAGAGAAAUGCGCCGCGCAUCCGAAGCCGUGUGUUCCGCGAUUGCAUUCCAGCUGCUCGGGCUGCUCAGCAAAGACACGCCAUGCCGGGAUUUGGCCGCCCUGGCGUUCCUUGUGGAGGUGAGCCUGAAGGCCAGCGCUGCCUCGCUGAGCUGCCUCCCGGCUCUCUGCCCUCUCUUGGCCGCAGUGCCUGGGACGGAGCCCGCGCCCUGUGCUGCUGCCUGGGCCCGGCCCUGUGCGGUUCUGGGCUCCCGCCGGCCGCUCCCCCGUCACUGCCCUGUGCCUUUCAGGUCCUGGAGCGCCUGAACCUGAGUGAACGCCGUGACAGCGUCCUGGAGUUCUUGUCAAAGAACCUGCAGAGCGAGUGCAGGGGGAGGCGUCGCUUGGCACUCAGAGGCCUCGUGGUGCUCGGCACCACCAGUGCCUCGGUGAGAAGAGCGCAGGGGCUGAAGCCGUGCUGCCAGCGUGGGGCUGGGGAAGGCAGUCCCUGGGGCUCGGCUGGCCUUGGGGCACUGAGGCAGCUGCUGCCAGCUCUCCUGCCUCCUGCUGCAGCUGCCCCAGUGCUUUGGCACAGGCCUUUGGCCCCUGGGCCCUGUGGCAGCAGGAUGGUGUUUCACACACUUGUGUUCCACAAGUAGAUGGCCAUAAGGAUGUGGAGCCUGCAUGAAAGGCUCGUGGAGCUCCUGCCGGAAAAUGACAGCGUCAUGCUCAGGAUGACCACAGGUCUCCUCAGAGCUGUAUUUCUCUGCAAUGGUGCCCCAAUAACCAGCACCCUCGCCCUGCAGCUGGCUGAGGCGCUCCUGCCACUCUUUGACAACGUAAGGCUCUGCGCCUCCAGCCACGGCCAGCGGGUGCUACCCGCACACUUUGUGCCCUGUGCACUUACAGGCUGUGCCCAGGUGGGCCUGAAGCAGCUGACGCUGAGGUCUUUCUUCCUUCCUUUCAUACAGGAGGAUAGCCAGGUGCAGUUGAGCUCCAUGUUUAUCUUCCGAGACAUGCUGGAUCAUUUUCCGGAAGAGGAAAAAAAGGCCCUGAAGGCACACGUGCGCCAGAGCCUGCUGCCACUCUCCUUCCACUGCCAUGAUGAGAACCAGCGAGUGGCAGAGGCUUCUCAGGAAACGCUGCUUUGUGCGGCCGAGUUCCUGAAGCAGAGGGAUCUCGAAAAGCUGCUGAAGAACCAGAAGCCAUGGAAGUUCACCGAGUGCCUGCUGGCAGAGGACAGCAGCAGCGUGGCCGAGCACCUGCGCCGGGCCCUGCCCUACCUGCAGAGCCCACAGGAGCCCCUGCGAGAGGCGGCCGUCAGGUUCAUGGGUGAGCCACGAGCCGGGCCAGGAGGCCGUGUGGGCACAGGGCUGGCAGCGCCGCUGGCAGGGAGCUGUGCCGCCGGGCCUGACAGGCUCUGUGUUCCCAGGGACGGCCGGGCGGUACCUGAGGGGGAGGAAGGAAGAGCUCCAGCUCAUCUCUGAGGGUGAGUGAGGGCAGCGGGCUGCCAGCGGGGGCUGGCGGGGAGCUGCGAGCCCUGCCCCGGCUGCGGAGGGCUCUGCUCCCUGUGCGGACCAGGGGCGGCGUGGGCAGAGCACACAGAGGUUUCAGGGCACCUGGG
rnacentral:lncRNA from 1 species